rnacentral:rRNA from 1 species
CAGCAGCCGCGGUAAUACAGAGGGUGCGAGCGUUAAUCGGAUUUACUGGGCGUAAAUCGUGCGUAGGCGGCUUCUUAAGUCGGAUGUGAAAUCCCUGAGCUUAACUUAGGAAUUGCAUUCGAUACUGGGAAGCUAGAGUAUGGGAGAGGAUGGUAGAAUUCCAGGUGUAGCGGUGAAAUGCGUAGAGAUCUGGAGGAAUACCGAUGGCGAAGGCAGCCAUCUGGCCUAAUACUGACGCUGAGGUACGAAAGCAUGGGGAGCAAACAGGAUUAGAGACCCCCGUAGUCCCUUCUCUUAUACA